GUGUACAUGGCAAGAAUGCUGACAGUUAAUAAGUUAUUUGCCAUUUUAUUUUUGCUGUGCACGGUAAAACCGAUGAAUGUCAUCUGUGUACACGGUACAUCUGAUGAGAGUCAUUUCAUAAGGUUAGCAAAACCUGCUUGAUCAGGAGUUCAGCCUUUGAGUUCAACGUGCUGUCUUCACUCUUUUGUUUACUUUGUGUUUGUGGUUAGAAAGUUACCAAAGUUUAUAGCUUGUGUACUUGGUAGUAGCAUUAUGUUAGACUGUGGUAAUAGUUUCUGUGAAAAUGAGUGAAUUAAGUGAGUCAAGUGUGAAUGAAGAUUGUGAAAACGUCAGUAAGCCUAGCGCAAAGACGAGAAAAUCCCAUGGAAGGGCAAGAGAUGUGAUGAAAAAACUUAAAGUGCGUACUCACGAAACUGGGCCCGAUUGCAUAUGUAAAAGACAACAGUAUUUUGAUAGAGUUUGUGAAGGUGAAAGAAAAAGAUUAAUUUCUCAUUUUAAUAGUUUAGAAUCUAAUGAUGCUCAGUCCUCAUACUUGGCUGGGCUUAUCAAUGUUAGGUAAAUGAAAUAAAGAAUGCCAGAAUAAAGCCUUCACCUUUCACUGUAAUUGAAGCUGACCAAAACCUAUUUAGAAAAUGGACUGCUUUUUGGAAAAUCACUAUCACAAGAAACGCCCAUUUGCUACAGGACCAAUUUGUGAAAUAAAAUUUUCAAAAGACCAUUGCAGGUUAGUUGAACACAGAUCAUCAUACACUGGUUUCUUUCUGAUGUCACCGAUCCUAACACAACACCAACUUACCAAGCUUGCAAGAAGACCCUGGUGAUAAUACGUCCUCUUUACCAUCAAUUCUGUGUGAAGAUCUGAUUAAACUAAAACCUGGAAAGUACCAAGACCUGCAGCACCUGAAGCAGCUUUGCAGUCCAUCUGCUCAAAAGUACUUUGAAGAACUUCCUCAUUGACAAAACAUAAGUUGUUACAAGAUCCACUGAAGAAGCACAGAAAGAUAGUGGACUUUCAUCGUUUUUACGAAGUCUUUUAUGACUACCAUCACUUUUACCAUGUUUUUUUGUACCUAUUAAUUAAUAAAGCACCUU